GCCCAAAUAAAGCAAGAAAAAUUGUCAAUUGCAACGCGACAGCCAUACGCAGAAAGUUGAAAGCUUUCGCGGGUGUUUUUGUUUUGCUAGCUUCGGCAUUUUAUCUCUUGGCUAUUGCAAACUUUAUAAAGCAAUGGUGAGAUGAAAAGCAAGACGUUGUGCGUUGACUGGUUUACACUGCUGGAUAAUUGGUGUUUCAGCUGGAGCCGAUAACUUAGUGGAAGUGAUGCUCGUUCUCCGUCCAUUCAAAGUUGAAUCAUUAUUUGGACCUCCCAGAUAUUUAGUUUAAGCAUCCAGGGUGAAAAAAGUUUUGAAUUUACCGAAGGCUGUCCACUUUGCAUCUGUGAAGAGUAACUGGGAAAAGAAAUGAGCUAACAGGCAGAAUGUGGUUUUUUUUUUACAAAUCCGUACUAAAAACCCAGAAACAACAAACCUAAUAGACAAAUUCAAGUUGAUUUAUUUAAAUAUUUUCAUUGGCACACCUGUGUACAUUCAUUGCACCAACAUUCCAUCUCCAAAGUCAUUCUCAAUACUUCCUGGCACCGGUAUUGCAGCUUGUAAUUUGACACAGAAAAAGACCAAGCAGGCCUUGCAGAUCCGUUUCCUCCAUUUCAUAAUAACUCUAAUUUGGUGAAUAUUAACAAUGGCUGAACUAUUUUUCCCUCUCAACUCCAUUCCCUUGCCACUACUAUAUCAGGAAGAUUUUUUGUGUCCUCCUUAGUGAAGACAGAUCCAAAGUAUCUGUUCAACUCAUCUGCCAUUUCCUUGUUCCCCAUAAUAAAUUCACCUUUUUCAGUCUUCAAGGGUCCAGCUUUGGUCUUAACUAAUUUUUUCUCUUCACAUACAGUACCUAAAGAAGCUUUUACAAUCGUGCUUUAUAUUCUUGGCUAGUUUACCUUUGGACCUCAUCUUUUCUCCCCGCAUUGUCUUUUUAGUUAUCUUCGGUUGCUCUUUGAACAUUACUCUAAACAUAGGAUUGCUCCUUUCCUAACACUGUGAGCAGCUUAUGCAUUGGCAGCCAGGAGCUCCACCUUUCCCAAUUGCAAGAAUGGGACCACAACCUCUUGCAAGAGUGAACAGCCUUCAGAUCUUUAAAUUAUAUAUAUUUUAAAUUUUGGAAUAGCAGACAUUUAGUUAAAGCAUCAAGGGUGAAAGUUGUUUGAAUUUACAGAAGACUGUCCACUUUGCAACUGUGAAGAGUAACCGGGGGUAAAAAAUGGACUAACAGGUGGCAUGUAUUUUUCACUGCAGCCUUCCACCCGGAAGGAAGGAGAAAUGAACCAGCCCUAGGAACCUGAAUAGAUUGGGCCUUUGACCCACUCAUGCAGUGGGAAUAUAUGAAUGGUGUCCCGUCAUUCUGCAUUCAACAGCCCAUACGCAAGAAGAAGAGGCAUUCAACAGCUACGCAAAGGAUAUCAGAUGCAAGCAGCUGGCACAGGAGAUCAUUGUGAUGCCUCUGGAGGAGGAAGUCUAUAACCAGUUGUGUGUGCAAGGGUGGAUGAGCCUCAGGCACCAGGGGGAAGCUGAAUGUGAUCGGCCAGGCAUGAUCUCUUUUCACCUCAGCAUAUCGGAACAGGAGUCCUUACAGGAAGCGCAUGUACAACAAAUGGGGUUCAUUUUUCAGCCUCUCUUAAUGAAUGAAGCCCUCUAACAUUACAGGACUGUGUAACAUAUUCCAUUGAAGCAGAGAGCUUUGAUCCAUUGCCAGCUGCUGUAGAGGAGGCAUGUAAGUUAUUUGAGGACAAGAGCUGCUGAGGACAGCUCCCGUCAGAGCAGAGACCUCCACUGUGCCAGUGUGCCUGUCCACACAGAACAUCAGCAGCAUGAGGAUAAACCAAACUCGACAGGUAGCACACGGACAUCUGACCAGAUUGUCCUAAUGGGACUUCACGAUGUUCAUUUACUUAACCUCUCCCAUGCAGCUUAACCUCUGUCACAGCGAACAAAUCACCUUAAAUACGCAGCGUGAAAUUAAAGUCGCCCACAUUUGACAACCGUAGGAUUUGCGAUUCCAACUUGAGCCUUUGAUUGACCAGCGUCACAUAAAACGUUCAUGAUUUUGAUGGCUUGCUUCAACAUCACCUAAGAUGGAGCUCUUAAAGAUAGCGUAGUCAAAGGAUGUGGGGAGAAGGCAGGAACGGGGUACUGAUUCUGGACGAUCAGCCAUGAUCACAGUGAAUGGCGGUGCUGGCUCGAAGGGCCAGUUGGCCUACUCUUGAACCCAUUGUCUAUUGUCUAUUGAAUGCAUCAGUUCAACGAGCUUAGUUUUGAAAUACAGCGUGAAACGACCUGCAAUCGCCCGCACACUAGUUCUGUCCAACACACUAGGGACAAUUUACAAAAUCCAAUUAAUCUACAAACCUGCAUAUCUUUGGAAGGUGAGAGGAAAUCUGAGCACCCGGAGAGAACCCACGCGGUCACAGGGAGAACGUACACAUUCGGUGUAAAUAGCACCCGUAGGCAGGAUCGAACCCCAAUCUCUGGCGCUGUAAGGCAGCAACUCUACCACUGCACCUCUGUGCUGCCCAAUUGUUCACAUUUGUCGCCCAGUUAGUGGCAAACGUUUGCCUAGUAUAAGCCAAUGCGGCCGUGAAUGCCCAGCUGUUCAUCCAUCAUCAUUAUUGUUUUUUUGUAAUUAAAGAAAAACAUUGAGUACAUUUGAAUUGGAACAUCCCACGGCUUCCGAUUUUAAGAAAUGUGCUUAUUUUAUUCGACACCUACAACUAUUGCUUUGUUAUUCCUCAGAGUUAUUGGCAGAAGGUAAUGAUCAAAAACAGAAUUGUCCCAUCGUAUUGUGUGAGAAGGAACUGCAGAUGCUGAUUUGAACCAAAGACAGACACAAAAAGCUGGAGUAACUCAGCGGGACAGGCAGCAUCUCUGGAGAGAAAUAAUGGAUGACGUUUCGGGUCGAGACCCAAGAGUCGCCCAUUCCAUCUCUCCAGAGAUGCUGCCUGUUCCACUGAGCUUCUCCAGUUUUUGUCUAUCUUUGUCCCAUCGUAUUGGUCCGUUAGAAAGAACGGUGUUCUUGAUUUUUACUUAAAUAAAGACAAUUACCGUGUUUAAUCACGCCUGUAAUGUACUUUCUGUAAUUCAAUCAGUCAAAUAUAAUUGGGACAUGAGUAGAAAGAGCAAUUGAGAAUGCCAUUGUACAUUAAAAUAUCAACAUGUUUCGUUCCAAAUUUGAGCAAAUUCAUUGAUUGAGAUGAAGGCCAGGGUCGUUCAGUUAUAAUUCCCGGAAUCCACUCCUGUAAGAAUAGUGUCCAUAUUGACACGUACAUGUUUUAAUAAGCCAUCAUAUGCUACCUUAAGGAAAAUGUAAAACAUUUGUGUCAUCAUCAUACAUUACUUAAUAUAGGAUUAAUGUAUGAUAAGAUAUACUGAUAAGAUUAUUUUAGUUUUCUACUAAAUUUGAAUUCCAGUUUAAAACUUAGCACCAAGAGAAUUGACCUCCACUGCCUACGGAGGCGGAUAAUUCCACAGAUUCACAACUCUGGGUGAAAAAGUUUUUCCUCAUCUCCGUUCUAAAUGGCCUACCCCUUAUUCUUAAACUGUGGCCCCUAGUUCUGGACUCCCCCAACAUCGGGAACAUGUUUCCUGCCCCUAGCGUGUCCAAUACCUUAAUAAUCUUAUGUUUCAAUAAGACCCCCACUCAUCCAGUGUAUACAAGCCCAGUCGCUCAAUUCUUUCAGCAUAUGACAAUUCACGUGUGUGUUAGGAUUGCAAUUUAAUAAAAACAAAACUUGGCUGAGAAUGUUCGGUGUAAUUUGACCUUCUAAUGCGUUCCACCAUUGCUGAGGGUAUUUCGGACGGAUGCAAUGAAUUAAGAUAUUGAGUUUUUUUAGCAAAAUAAACGUGUUUCAAAAGUGAACUGACAAAUAAAAUGUCCACUGCAGUCAGCUGAUGAAAUGUCUUGAAUUUCGUACACGACCAAGCGUGAAUAAAGAUAUAGCGAAACACCCUGUUUUAUUAUUUUAAACUCAUAUUCAGAUGGGUUAAAUAACGCGUGUUGCACUUCCCUUCAGAACAUACUUUACGAACAGUGCAGUAUUUAAAACGUCGCUAGUACUGUAGAAGAUUGUAUUUAUAGAACCACCUAUUAAAUGUUCCAUUAAUUGAACUGCUUAUUAAUAGACAAUAGGAGCAGGAGUAGGCCAUUCGGCCCUUCGAGCCAGCACCGCCAUUCAAUGUGAUCAUGGCUGAUCAUCCCCAAUCAGUACCCCGUUCCUGCCUUCUCCCCACAUCCCCUGACUACGCUAUUUUUAAGAGCCCUAUCUAGCUCUCUCUUGAAAGCAUCCAGAGAACCAUCCUCCACCGCCCUCUGAGGCAGAGAAUUCCACACUCGCCACUCUCUGUGAGAAAUAGUCCUAGUCUCCGUUCUAAAUGGCUUACUCCUUAUUCUUAAACUGUGGCGCCUGGUUCUGGACUCCCCCAACAUCGGGAACAUGUUUCCUCCCUCUAGCGUGUCCAAACCAUUAAAGAAAAACAUGACGUAGAAAAACGCAGCACGCAAAGCAAGGCACACCGUGCCUAACAUUGGUAUAGCCAACGGUUAAAUGGUUGCUGAUUGCAUCAGGCCCCCAUAGAAUUUCGCAAACACAAAUGCAGGAAAUGAAUUGCACCCAGUCGCUGGGGGAAGCGUCUGAAUUUCUCUUAAUUAAUGCUUCCGGUUUGCUCGGUACCUCACGUUAUAUUUUAAUUACACAUUUCGAUAGUUUUGCAUUUCGAUUUUCUUUACAAAAUCAGAAACGUUGGCUUCCUUUAUCCCGAUCCAUUUUACGAAAGGUUAGGGUUUCAUUUGGCAUUUGCGGUUUUCCUCUGCCGGUCUGCAAGUGACUGGAAUUGCUGUAUUUCCGAUUUUAUGGCGAGAGGGACAUAUCCAAUGAACUCAUUUCGAAGCAGACGUAUAUCAUAAGAUCAUAAGUGAUAGGAGCAGAAUUAGGCCGUUCGGCCCAUCUAGUCUACUCUGCCAUUCAAUCAUGACUAUCUUUCCCAACCCCGUUCUCCUGCCUUCUCCACAUAAACCCUGACUCCCGUAGUAAUCAAAAAUCUAUCUAUACCUGCUUUAAAUAUAUCUAUUGACUUGACCUCCACAGUAUUCUGUGGCAAAGAGUUUCACAGGUUCACUACCCAAUUACUAAAGACAUUUCUCCUCAUCUCACUGUAACUGAUGAUCAUGUCAGUAAU